rnacentral:rRNA from 1 species
AUUGAACGCUGGCGGCAGGCCUAACACAUGCAAGUCGAGCGGAUGCAGCGAGCUUGCUCCCGGAUUCAGCGGCGGACGGGUGAGUCAUGCCUAGGAACCUGCCUGGUCGCGGGGGAUAACGUCCGGAAACGGGCGCUAAUCCCGCAUCCGUCCUGUUGGCGCAAGUGGGUGAUCUUCGGACCUCUCGCUAUCAGAUGAGCCUAGGUCGCAUUAGCUAGUUGGUGGGGUAAAGGCCUACCAAGGCGACGAUCCGUAACUGGUCUGAGAGGAUGAUCAGUCACACGGGAACUGAGACACGGUCCAGACACCGACGGGAGGCAGCAGUGGGGAAUAUUGGACGAUGGGCGAAAGCCUGAUCCAGCCAAGCCGCGUGUGUGAAGAAGGUCUUCGGAUGGUAGAGCGCUGUAAGUUGGGAGGAAGGACAGUAAGUUAAUACCUGGCUGUUUUGACGUUACCAACAGAAUAAGCACCGGCUAACUUCGUG